rnacentral:rRNA from 1 species
AUUGAACGCUGGCGGCAUGCCUUACACAUGCAAGUCGAACGGCAGCACGGGUGCUUGCACCUGGUGGCGAGUGGCGAACGGGUGAGUAAUACAUCGGAACAUGUCCUGUAGUGGGGGAUAGCCCGGCGAAAGCCGGAUUAAUACCGCAUACGAUCCACGGAUGAAAGCGGGGGACCUUCGGGCCUCGCGCUAUAGGGUUGGCCGAUGGCUGAUUAGCUAGUUGGUGGGGUAAAGGCCUGCCAAGGCGACGAUCAGUAGCUGGUCUGAGAGGACGACCAGCCACACUGGGACUGAGACACGGCCCAGACUCCUACGGGAGGCAGCAGUGGGGAAUUUUGGACAAUGGGCGAAAGCCUGAUCCAGCAAUGCCGCGUGUGUGAAGAAGGCCUUCGGGUUGUAAAGCACUUUUGUCCGGAAAGAAAUCCUUGGCUCUAAUACAGUCGGGGGAUGACGGUACCGGAAGAAUAAGCACCGGCUAACUACGUG